ACUUAUAAGCCCGUCUCUCUCUCUGCUAGUGUUUUCUAGAAUCUGUGACUGAGAUGAGAACUGUGGAGUCUGGGAUCAGCCUGCUGCUGGAAGCUUGCAGGCUGUGGCCCUCUGUCCUCUUCAGCUUCCCUUGGUGUCCUACAUCAUUCACAAAUAUCAACAGGAACCCAGAAGUGUCCAGGCCGUAAAGAUCUUACAUCACUUUGGUAGAGAAGCGAAGAGUGAAUGUGCCUAUCAACAAAGAACUACUACACCAAGAAGACCCUUCAGACAAUAAUGGAUUCUACCGCAUUGUGCUGCUAGAUGAGGACCGCAGGGCUUGUCAUGGAGACAACAGGAUGCUCAGCUCUCUGGCACUGGGCGGGUUCCUGGAACUCAGGGCGGGCGAUACUCCACACUCCCAGGCUUGAGAA